AUAAUGUCAAACCAAAACAUUACUUUAACGUUGAAAUAUUUAAUAUAAAGUCUGAGUAGCUAACACAUAUCGACACUAAUAUAAUAAAGUAAUAUAUCACAUCAUUCAAAUUUAUCAUAAAGUCUAAAUAUAAAAUUUAAAUAUCCAAGAACAGUAAUCAACCUUAAAUCAAUAAUACACAUCAGAAUCAUACUCUUCAUCAUCAUAAAUGUGGGGCAUAUGUUUUUUCAUGUAUUUAUCCAUUCUAGCAAUGUGAGUUUCGGACGCCUCACACCGUUUCGAUAACAAAUUAAUAUUCUUUUGCAUUGCUCCCAUCUCUUUCCUGAUUAACCAGAAAGACAGAACCGGUAUAAAUAUCUAGUAGCUUGUAUCAACAAUUAAUUUGUAUUUGUACUACAAAUGAACUAUGUGAAAGUUUCACUUAAUGGAUGAGACUUACAAGAAAUGUGUCACAUGUAUAUAUAAAAUACAAACAACACAGAAAUUGAACAAUUGGAGUCCACCAUAUGAUAUCUACAACAUUCUAGGUAGGGGUGUUAAAAAUAUUAGGACUAAGAAUUUUACAAAGCUUGCAUGCAGUGUGCUCGAAAGGAAUAUAUAUGUAUACACAUAUAUAUAUUUUUUCCUUGUGACAGUUCAGAAGAUGAAAUAUUGUUCCCACGUUACUUAAAAUGAUAAUAAAACAUGCUCGGUAGCAGGACUAUUGUAGUGUGCUUUAGUGAGCAUCUAUGUGAAUAGAAAAUGUCAUCACACCAAAAGUUGCAUUUAGAAUGAAACCAAACAUCUCUACUGUAUAGAUUAACACUUUAAUUAACCACAAUUCCACUCCCAGUAAUCUAUCUCUCAACACAUACCUACAACAAUAGCCAGAAAACAAAUGACCAUUUCGUUUUAGAAAAUUCUAAACUAACAAAUUCAGAACUGUCCAUCUUUUAAGUAAGAACAUUAACAGAGACUAUAGUUUCUAACCCGGCUACAAUACACUUAAUUUUUGGUUUUAAAAUAUCAAGUUACCUGAAAUACGAAAGCAACUCGGUAGGACAAUUAGAUGAUGUUAAGGAACAGGAAACCUUCAGCAGAAAUAAUCAAGCAGAAAGGAGGAACACCAAUUGUUGAGGUAUGAAAAAACACAAAUAAAGGACAUCCAGAAUCUGUAAGUAUUUCGUAUACCAAUCUCUGUCGAUGCGCAGCAAAACUCAUAGAUCCCCGGUGUGCAACGAGCCACCCUUUUGAGAGGCUCAGGCUGCCUUUGCUCGUUCGCUCUUCUUCUUAAAUUCAGGACUAUCCCAUGUUGCUAAAAAUUUUAACCACACAUCAUUUCUUGCUGGUGGAUUUAUGUCUUUCUGACAAGAACAAAGACGCAACGGACGGCUUUGUUUUCUGCAUAAUAUCUAGCUUUCUAGUGCAAUGUAUGUAGUAUAUAAAAACAUAUAGAAGAGUUGAUAUGAAAAGGCCAAACUCGAUUAUUAAGUUUAAGAACGUUCCUCUUGAUACUUAAGACACUAGUCUGUUAAAUAUAGUGUCUUCAUCUGUUUGGUAUUCAGAUCUCGAAACAGCUAAAAUAAAUUCCUUUACAAAUAGGACACUUUUCUCAACCAUAUGCACAGUCACUGUGUGAAAAUGCUUGGCAUUACAAACCAAUGAGAAUUCUCAAGCAGAAUCAAUCUUCAAAAUUAAAGAAUUUGCCAAACGCCUACUAAUGUUAUCCAGCAAAUUGAGGCUCAGACGUGUAUAAUGAAAAGGCUAUAGAGAAGACAUUCAUACUGUUUAGCUCAAAGUUUUCAUAAAUAUUAUAGGCAUAAAUCAGUCAUUAUUAACGAAGGGUCAAUCAUAGCAGAUCAUAAUAAAUUAAAAGACCAAAUGAAUAAAAUGUAAGAGACAAUAGUUAUUAGUUAAAGGGAGGAGGGUGAAGAUUUUUUAUUAAUGAUAUUGGUUUGGCCUACCUCUCCAUGGAGAGGUUCAGAGUCUUACAAUGAUGUAUCCUCUCUUUUCUUAGAGGUAGAUGUGAAGAAGAAGAAGAAGUAGCCCCCCUUUAGGGUUCUUUCUCUUACUAUUUAUAGCUAGGAAACCUGUCAGCUGGCUCCGAGUGGUUGUGACCACAUUGAGGGGACGCCCUCAUAAGGACGGCCAGGGCGUAGCCUUAAUUGUGAAAUCAGGUAAUUGCCCGAUAAUAUUGUUAAUAAAUGUUCAUACCAUUUAUCAAUCACAAAUAGGCUUUAAUAAAUGCGCCGGUCCCAUUAAUUAUCGUGAGUCAAGUUUUGACCCAUACAGAUAGUCCCUCCGCUUAUUGGGGUCGUGCCCUUGCCGAGCUCGAUGAGCGAAUUUUGCUGAUAGCCGUAGCCGUUUAUGCGUCGGAGACGGCCGUGGCCAUUUAUUCUUUGGAGAUGGCCAUAGCCAUUUAUAUUUUGUAGAAGGCCGUAGCCAUUGAUUCUUUAAAGAUGGCCGUAGCCAUUUAUAUUUUGAGAUGGCCAUAGCCUUCUAGCACGGACAUUCCUUGAUUGCAAUGGAGUUGUUUAUCAAACGAGUUCACAACCGACAACGGUAGUCGCAACCCUUUGGUUGGUUUCCGUAUAAGCGACUGGUCAUGGCCAUUUGUAUAUCUGAGGUGGUUGUGGCCAUUUACUUGCAUGUACUCUUCUUUUGGUGGGAGACCGUAGUUACCUCAUUGUCAAGGGACGACGAUUGCCGUUUGUUUUGAGAUGGAUGUAGCCGUCCUUAUUUCGAGAAUGGCGUAGCCGUUUUGUGUUCGGGAGACGGCCGUGGCCAAAUCUACUUUGGAGAGGGGCCGUAGCCACAAAUGGGUUAGAGAUGGUCGUGGCCGAUUACAUAUUCCUGGAGAGAAUAUGAUCAUGCUUACCGCGUAUAAGGAAGCGUCGUACGCAUAGUGACGCAUGGGGCGUGCUCAUGGUAUCUUGGAGCCGUUACAACCGUUUCGCAGGUGACUUGCCGAUUGACGGUUGAAUGACCGUUCCGUGCUAUCUAUCAUAAUGAUGCCCGUUACUGUAGGUCUGAACCGUUUUGUGGUUGGUCAGGCAGUUAAUAGUGACCUUUGGGAUUCGCAAGAGCCAUUUAUGCCUCGUCUAUAUAUAAGGUUUUGCAUCAUUCGGUUCUUAAUUUUUCGAUAUUCGUUUAAGUGAAAUUCUGAGAGAGAUAGCUCUUCUUGUUCCCAAAUUAAUUCAUCUUUUGCUCUUCAUUAUUCCGUUCUUCGUUGUUUAUCGUCAGAUGUUUAUCUUAUCUUUCUUUUCCGGUGACUUUCGCCUACUCUAUUUCAUUAUAUCGACAAUGAUGAGCAGUUCUCCUUCUGAUAUUACUCCGAUGCCGAUUACGGCGGAUGAGGGCCCAUCUACGGUGGUGAGAACCACCGAUUCGACAAGUAUUGACCGGCCCCCGUUGGUGAAUGACAUUGUACUAUUUGUAGGCCCGGCGGUCCGACGACUGAUUUCUCCGACCCCGAAGGAGAGGACCAAGUGGAUGAAGCCCUAUUGAUGGGGGAGGCAUGCAUCGCCCAAUUGAAGGAUCAAUGUGACAUUCCUCGUUUUGCCAACAUCGUCCUUGCUGGGAGUUGGGAGAUGGUACAUGUCGACCACCGAGGGUGUUGCGUAUUUUAUGCCUACCCUUUCAAGCUAGGAUUCAAACUUCCUCUCCCAAUGCUGGUGGUGGACUUCUGUCGCUACUACAGGGUGUGCCCUAGUCAGCUCGUCCCUUCCUGCUAUAAGUUAUUGGCGAUGCUGAUAAAAUAUGUGAAGUUGGCAUGGAGGGAGAUUACUCUUGAGCACGUGCUGACCCUCUGUGCUCCCCAGAGGGUACGCGACACCAUGAUUCGGUUGGUCCCUCAUGGGGUCAACGGCUUAACUGUGAGUUGGAUGACGACGUCGCUACCCGUCCUUGUGAGCACUUUUACUACAUUAGAACCGAGCACUUGGUGGCUUGUGCUAUUGACUUCCCACAGGAAUGGAAUCAUGCACGUAAGUUUCUUUUAUGUUGAUCUUAACUUCUUUUGGUUAUAUGCCCUGUUCCACAUUCGUACAUACUGAUCUUCCUCUUCUGACGUAGCUGGAGGUGCACUGCCAGAACCGCUUUCCGGCAUCCGCGAAUGGAUUGAGGCUGUGCUUCCUGUUACAAUGGGAAUUCGCAUGUGGGCGUCUUUCUGGGAGGUCCAUGGCCGUAGGCCGGCUGCUGGUAAGAAUCUAACAUGUUGCUAUUGCUCUUACUUCAUAGUCCUUAGUAUCUUUUCCCUGACCCUUCUUCCUUCGCUGGUUAGAACGACCACGUCGCAGGAGGGCUCCUCAACUUGCAUCCGUAGGCCAGGGGCGACUGCCGACCCCGAGGGCGACCUUAGUAGAAUCCUUAGCGGCUCACUCUCCGGCACGAUCCGGGCAUCGAAUUGAAGAAUUUCCAGGGGUCGUGCGUUCCAGGGCGGAGCUUCCACCGAAUGAAGAUGAGGAGGAAGAUGGGAGGCCACUGGUAAGGUGCAGGGCAGCGUUUAUCCCGGUCCUUUCGGUGGUGAUUAGUUUGGAUUCUUCGCUAUCGAAAGCGGAGGGGGAUGCAGCGGACCUUGCCCCAGAGGGCGAGCACUCAGUGGCGGUUGCCUCGGUUGGCUCAGGCCAAGGUGAUACAAUCGCUUUGGCGAUUCAAAUUUCAGCUCCUAUUGCUGAGAGGGAAGGUAGUUCUCAGUAAUCAUUUUGGUGGAGGAUACGGGCGCCGAUGCUUUGGCGAAUGAGGGCGCUUCAACUUCACGAGCGGUGGAGGCCUCGACUUCCAGGCGACGGAAGGAAGGGGCGCCUCGGGAGAGGGGGAAGAUUCUGAGUCCGACAUGGACCCUGAGGACAUCCGUCUAUUCCAAGAAGGUUAUAUCCGUCCAGCUGUGCAGGCCGAAGGGAACUAUCGCUACGUGGAGAUUCCUAAUGACCAGAACCUGCUGCUUGAGGAGGAGAAUUUGGUGACGUUGUUCGAGGUUAUGUGCUUGGAGGCGGAGAGUAUGUCCUUGAGGGGAAUCUCGGAUGUCGGGUUGAUGGGCGAGGUGGGCGCCUUGAGUAUAAAGGUACGUAUGAAACCUUGGGUUGUUUUCUUUUUUAGUACGUCUUCUUGUACUAACUGUUUCUCUGUUUGUUGUAGUCAUUUUUAUUGGAGGUGGAGAGCAUCAUGCGGGCUAACAUCCGCUCGGCAGUUUUUGUGCGGUUGUUGGGGAAGUACCGCUGCUAUCAUGACCAGUGUCGUGAUUUGCGUGAAUGCUUGAGGAACGACCAGCAAAAUUGGGAGCUGGUAGAAGGGCUGGCGCGGAGGGAGCUUCAUAUGCAACAGACCCUUAACAGGGUAAAUACUCUUGAGGGGCAGAUCCGUCAAAAGAACGAGGAGAUGGACGCUGAAAGAAGGGCGGCUACGGAGAGAGAGCGCCAAAAUCAGACGUGCUAGCAGAGGCCGCUAAAGCUUUAGCUAGGCAGGUGGAUGCCGUAGAGACGGAGGCUGCCGCUUUAAGGAAGCAGGCAGGGGACGCCCUGGCGAGGGUUGAAACAUUACAGGCGACCAACCGUGCCCAAGAAAGAGAGCGCAGAUUAGAGAGGGACGCCACUACUUUUCGAGGUAGUUGGAGGAGUGCAUUCCUGUUUGUUAACGGGAUGCUCGUGUUGCAGCAGACUGGAUUGCGGCCUUGGAGGCUGAGAACCAGCGCAUGAGGGACCUAGCCGCCUCUUUAGGUCCUGCUCGUGAGCUUUGGAUUUACGCUGAGGCCCAACUUGAUGUGUACAGAAGGUUGUGGGAAGCCGGCGUUGUGUAUGAGGCCACCUGUAAGGAGGCACGCCAAAAGGCUCGUGAUGCCCGCCUCGACUGCAGUUUUGAACCGUCUACACCUGGGGUGAUGAUGGCGCCGAGGGCGCUGACAAUGUUGAAGAGGGCACUGGGGGCGUCGAAUGAACAAUGAGAAAAUUUGUAAUAUCCAUUUAAUUUUCAUUCUCUUUAUCUCUUUUACUUUUUGUUGCCAUUCGGCUUUUUAUUUUUCUUUUCCGGCCUUGGGCCAGUGUAAUUGGGGGUAACCCCGUGUAAAUAUUGUAAAUAUACUUUCUUCCUUUCUGUUUGUUUUAUAUCAAUUUGUGCACUUCUUUUUUGUGCUCGUUUGAGAUGGCCUUGGCGAUUGAUAGACGCUCUUGGUCAUCACCUUGCUCCACUUGGUGGGAGUGGGUUGUAGUCGUGUCUGGGUAGUGGAGGUACAUAGCCUUAGUCCCAGUUCGUCCUUAGUUGAACUACUGGUCGUGGUAAUGAAGCGCAGCUUUAUAGUUCGACUUGGACUGAACUUUACGCGGGUCGAAACGUUAGUUUGGAGUUAGUCGUACUUAUUUGAAUGGCGAGGCGCUUGGCCCGAUCAGGGGUUCGUUCGUGGUAGGACAUUUGGGGGCGCUCGUCGUUGCCUGAUCGCAGCCCGGCUCAUAGCCUCGGGACGUGUUUCCUUGGAUUUGAUUUGUCCCUGGUUGAGUUUGUGGCUUUUGUGACGGAGGCGUGUAGCCUGAGUCCUUAUUCAACUCAUAGUUGAAUACUUUUGUAAUUCGUAAUGGCGGAGCACUUGGCCGGAGUCCUAGUCCAACUCGUAAUUGAUCUUUUAGGGUGAAGGCACAUAGCCUGAGUUGUCGUUCAACCGUAGUUGAACCUUUGUUAUUUUUGAAGGCACGUAGCCUGAGUCCCAGUUCAACCGUAGUCGAAAUUUUGGGUGAAGGCACGUAGCUUGAGCUUCCGUUCAACCGUAGUUGAACCUCUAUGAUUUUUGAAGGCGCGUAGCUUGAGUCCCAGUUCAACCGUAGUUGAACUUUUUGGUGAAGGCACGUAGCCUAAGUUGUCGUUCAACUGUAGUUGAACCAUUGUAAUUUUUGAAGGCACGUAGCCUGAGUCCCAGUUCAACCGUAGUUGAACUUUUGGGUGAAGGCACGUAGCCUGAGCUGCCGUUCAACCGUAGUUGAACCUCUGUGAUUUUUGAAGGCACAUAGCAUGAGUCCUAGUUCAACCGUAGUUGAACUUUUGGGUGAAGGCACGUAGCCCGAGUUGUCAUUCAACCGUAGUUGAACCUUUGUAAUUUUUGAAGGCACGCAGCAUGAGUUGCCGUCAACCGUAGUUGAACCUCUGUGAUUUUUGAAGGCGCGUAGCGUGAGUCCCAGUUCAACCGUAGUUGAAAUUUCGGGUGAAGGCACGUAGCCUGAGCUCUCGUUCAACCGUAGUUGAACCUUUGUAAUAUUUGAUGUCGAAGGCACAUAGCCUGAGUUCUAGUUCAACCGUAGUUGACGUUUUGGGUGAAGGCAUGUAGCCUGAGCUGUCCUUCAACUGCAGUUGAACCUUUGUAAUAUUUGAUGUCGAAGGCACAUGGCUUGAGUCCCAAUUCAACCGUAGUUGAAAUUUUUGGGUGAAGGCACGUAGCCUGAGCUACUGUUCAACCGUUGUUGAACCUCUGUGAUUUUUGAAGGAGUGUAACCUGAGUCCCAGUUCAACCGUAGUUAAACUUUUGGGUGAAGGCACGUAGCCUGAGUUGUCGUUCAACCUAGUUGAACCUUUGUAAUUUUUGAAGGCACGUAGCCUGAGUUCCAGUUCAAUUGUAAUUGAACUUUUGGGUGAAGGAGCAUAGCCUGAGCUCUUGUUCAACUCUAGUUGAACCUCUGUGAUUUUUUUAAGGCGCGUAGCCUGAGUCCCAGUUCAACCGUAGUUGAAAUUUUGGGUGAAGGAACAUAGCCUGAGGUGCUAUUCAACCCUAGUUGAAUCUUUGUAAUAUUUGAUGUCGAAGGCACAUAGCCCGAGUCCCAGUUCAACCGUAGUUGAUCUUUUGGGUGAAGGCACGUAGCCUGAGCUGCCGUUCAACCGUAGUUGAACCUUUUUAAUAUUUGAUGUCGUAGGCACAUGGCCUGAGUCCCAGUUCAAUCGUAGCUGAACUUUUUGGGUGAAGGCACGAAGCCUGAGUUGCCGUUCAACCGUAGUUGAACCUCUGUGAUUUUUGAUGGCGCCUAGCCUGAGUCCCAGUUCAACCGUAGUUGAACUUUUUGGGUGAAGGCACGUAGCCGAGCUACCGUUCAACCAUAGUUGAACCUCUGUGAUAUUUUAAGGCACGUAGCCUGAGUCCCAGUUCAACCGUGGUUGAACUUUUUGGGUGAAGGCACGUAGCAUGAUCUCCCGUUAAAUCGUAGUUGAACCUUUGUGAUUUUUGAAGGCACGUAGCCUGAGUCCCAGUUUAACUGUAGUUGAACUUUUUGGGUGAAGGCACGUAGCUUGAGCUGCCGUUCAACCGUAGUUUAACCUCUGUGAUUUUUGAAGCCGCGUAGCCUGAGUCCCAGUUCAACAGUAGUUGAACUUUUUCGGUGAAGACCCGUAGCCUGAGCUGCCAUUCAACUGUAGUUGAACCUUUGUAAUAUUUGAUAUCGAAGGCACAUAGCCUAAGCUGCCGUUCAACCAUAGUUGAACCUUUUGUUUUCCCACAUAACCCGCUUCGUAUUGGGCGUUGGGAUUUGCUUCCAAUUUCAGAUCUCUCCUAACUCGCGCUUGUAGUAUUCUCGAAUGGUUUGUAUGGUUCACCCCGUUACAGAUCUCGGUUCGAGAUGCUUUCAUGCUUUCCUCUUUUUUGGCAGGAUCCCGUGUGAAAAGGGGGCGAUGUACCUUAUGCAUAUUUUUCCCAUAGGGAUGGGGGAUCUGCUUCUUCUUCUUCUUUUUCCCUUUGAUCGGAGUCGCUGGGAUGUGGAAGCAAUCUCAUAACGAGGAUUUGUACUUCCUUUUACCUGAAAUGCCGCUUUGGCUUGUUCGAGCUGGGUUGUUCUAUUUCCUUCUUUGGUCUAAGGAUAAACUACGUGAUUCUACUAUGAAAUCCCCGAAGACGGCGCCAAAUUGUUUAGCUCAAAGUUUUCAUAAACCUUAUGGGAAUAAAUCAAUCAAAAUCAAUGAAGGGGCAAUCAUAGCAGAUCGUAAUAAAUCAAAAGACCAAAUGAAUAAAAUGUAAGAGACAAUAGUUANNNNNNNNNNNNNNNNNNNNNNNNNNNNNNNNNNNNNNNNNNNNNNNNNNNNNNNNNNNNNNNNNNNNNNAAAUCAAAAGACCAAAUGAAUAAAACGUAAGAGACAAUAGUUAUUAGUUAAAGGGAGGAGGGUGAAGAUAUUUUAUUAAUGGUAUUGGUUUGGUCUGCCUCUCAAUGGAGAGGUUCAUAGCUUUACAAUGAUGUAUCCUCUCUUUUAUUAGAGGUAUAUGUGAAGAAGAAGAAGCAGCCCCCCUUUAGGGUUCUUUCUCUUAGUAUUUAUAGCCAGGAAACCUGACAGUUGGCGCCGAGUGGUUGUGGCCACAUUGAGGGGACACCCUCAUAAGGACGGCCAAGCCGUAGCCUUAAUUGUCAAAUCAUGUAAUUGCCUGAUAAUAUUGUUAAUAAAUGGUCAUACCAUUUAUCAAUCACAAAUAGGCUUUAAUAAAUGCAUCGGUCCCAUUAAUUAUCGUUAAGUCAAGUUUUGACCCAUACACAUACCAUGGCUGCAAAACACUGGUUGCACGAGAGACGGGGGUAAUCAAUCACAACCAUACCGGGUUGCCACACCAAGAUACGGGCCGGGUCAUCUCAAUGCUCAAAGAUCAACCCAAAAAUAGAAAGAUUCAUAAGCAUAAUCACAGCCCUCACUCUACCCCAAUACAAACAAAAAAUCAAAUAGAGCACACAAAAAAGAACAUGCCUCAAACUAGCCAACAAUUCCAAUCUCAAACCCUAGUCUUGGCCAAAGAUUAGAUGGGAAAGAGGGAGAGAUCGCGUACUUGAUGAAGUCCUCAACGCCGAUUUUGACCGGCGCGGUUGAGAGAGCCGAUUUUGACCGGCGCGGUUGAGAGAGAGAAGGAGAUAUAGAGAAAGGGACGACAGAGCAAUUGAGAAAUUAUGGGAAAAAGAAUUAGAAUGUGAGGGUUAGGGGAAAAUAAGUUAACGUUUCCGACUACUGUAGCCGGAAACUAUAUAUUAUUUAAUUGUUUUCAUUAAAGAAUUCUUGGUUAAAAGUGGUU
rnacentral:lncRNA from 1 species